GAUGAACGCUGGCGGUAUGCUUAACACAUGCAAGUCGAGGGGCAAGACAAUGUAUCUGUCUAUCUCUCUAGCGACCGACGGACGGGUACGAAACGCGUAUGCAACUUUCGCUAUACAGGAGGCUAACCCGACCAAAGACUAACUACGACUGCGUAUUCUCACAACUUGGCAUCAAGUGGUAAGGUAAGUACUUCGGUAUAGGAUAGGCUUGCGUCCCAUUAGCUUGUUGGUGAGGUAAUGGCUUACCAAGGCAACGACGGGUGGCCGGCCUGAGAGGGGGACCGGCAACAUGGGGACAGAGAUACGGCCCAGACUCCUACGGGAGGCAGCAGUGGGGAAGAUUGCACAAUGGGCGGAAGCCGGAUGCAGCAACGCCGCGUGCGGGAUGACGGCCUUCGGGUUGUAGACCGCUUUCGCCUGUGACGAAGCGUGAGUGACGGUAAUGGGUAAAGAAGCACCGGCUAACUACGUG
rnacentral:rRNA from 1 species